rnacentral:rRNA from 1 species
UCCGUAGGCGGGCUAAUAAGUCAGGUGUGAAAUCCCACAGCUUAACUGUGGAACUGCCUUUGAUACUGUUAGUCUUGAGUUAUAUGGAAGUAGAUAGAAUGUGUAGUGUAGCGGUGAAAUGCAUAGAUAUUACACAGAAUACCGAUUGCGAAGGCAGUCUACUACGUAUAUACUGACGCUAAUGGACGAAAGCGUGGGGAGCGAACAGGAUUAGAUACCCUGGUAGUCC